rnacentral:rRNA from 1 species
ACGAACGCUGGCGGCGUGCUUAACACAUGCAAGUCGAGCGGUAAGGCCCUUUCGGGGGUACGACGAGCGGCGAACGGGUGAGUAACACGUGGGUGACCUGCCCUCAGCUCUGGGAUAAGCCUGGGAAACCGGGUCUAAUACUGGAUAUGACUCCAUGACGCAUGUUGGUGGGGUGGAAAGCCUUGUGCGGCUGAGGAUGGGCCCGCGGCUAUCAGCUUGUUGGUGGGGUGACGGCCUACCAAGGCGACGACGGGUAGCCGGCCUGAGA